GACAGAGGAGCCAAGCGUUGUCCGGAUUGACUGGGCGUAAAGCGCACGCAGGCGGUCGCGCGCGUGGGGUGUGAAAUCUGGCCGCUUAACGGCCAGGCGCCAUCCCAUACGGCGCGACUGGAGUGAUGCAGAGGUCGAUGGAAUUGCCGGUGUAGUGGUGAAAUGCGUAGAGAUCGGCAGGAACACCCAGGGGGAAACCAGUGGACUGGCACGGUGCUGACGCUCAGGUGCGAAAGCGUGGGGAGCGAACCGG
rnacentral:rRNA from 1 species